rnacentral:rRNA from 1 species
CUACGUGCCAGCAGCCGCGGUAAUACGUAGGUGGCGAGCGUUAUCCGGAAUUAUUGGGCGUAAAGGGUGCGUAGGCGGCCUGUUAAGUAAGUGGUUAAAUUGUUGGGCUCAACCCAAUCCAGCCACUUAAACUGGCAGGCUAGAGUAUUGGAGAGGCAAGUGGAAUUCCAUGUGUAGCGGUAAAAUGCGUAGAUAUAUGGAGGAACACCAGUGGCGAAGGCGGCUUGCUAGCCAAAGACUGACGCUCAUGCACGAAAGCGUGGGGAGCAAAUAGGAUUAGAUACCCUGGUAGUCCACGCCGUAAACGAUGUCGACUUGGAGGUUGUGCCCUUGAGGCGUGGCUUCCGGAGCUAACGCGUUAAGUCGACCGCCUGGGGAGUACGGCCGCAAGGUUAAAACUCAAAUGAAUUGACGGGGGCCCGCACAAGCGGUGGAGCAUGUGGUUUAAUUCGAUGCAACGCGAAGAACCUUACCUACUCUUGACAUCCAGA